GACAGAGGUGCCAAGCGUUAGGCGGAAUCACUGGGCUUAAAGCGUGUGUAGGCGGAUCGUUAAGUACCUUGUGAAAUCCCACGGCUCAACCGUGGAACUGCUGGGUAUACUGGCGAUCUUGAGCCACCUAGGGGCGAGCGGAACAAGCGGUGGAGCGGUGAAAUGCGUAGAUAUCGGGAGGAAUACCGAUGGCGAAGGCAGGUCUCUGGGCUGACACUGACGCUCAUGCACGAAAGCGUGGGGAGCAAACAGG
rnacentral:rRNA from 1 species